ACUCAUGCCUGGCAGGGGAGAUACCAUGAUCAUGAGGUGGAUUUCACCCAGGUGAGCUCAGCCAUUGCACUUCAGUUGUGCUGACCGAUGCGAAUUCCCCAAAUGUGGGAAUCUAGAGCUGCAUAAUUUUGUAUUGAGGACUGCGUCCUUGCUCUCCCUG